UUAAGAUGAAUGAAUUAAACAAUCGCAUCUCACCUUUGACAAUUGCAGUCGACCAUAAGACGGUACAAUCUAGCAAUUAACAAUGCAAUAAAAUAGAAGAUGAUUACACAAACAACAGGUAAAAAGGAAAAAAUAAAGAAGAAGAAAAGACAAUAACAAACAGAAGAAAAAGGAAAGAAAAAACAGGAAAAAAAAGAAAAGAAAGAAAGAAAGAAAGAAAUAACAUGUCAAUUUAACAAAAUAACUAACUACCAC
rnacentral:lncRNA from 1 species